rnacentral:rRNA from 1 species
GAUGAACGCUGGCGGCGUGCCUAAUACAUGCAAGUCGAGCGAACGGACGAGAAGCUUGCUUCUCUGAUGUUAGCGGCGGACGGGUGAGUAACACGUGGAUAACCUACCUAUAAGACUGGGAUAACUUCGGGAAACCGGAGCUAAUACCGGAUAAUAUUUUGAACCGCAUGGUUCAAAAGUGAAAGACGGUCUUGCUGUCACUUAUAGAUGGAUCCGCGCUGCAUUAGCUAGUUGGUAAGGUAACGGCUUACCAAGGCAACGAUGCAUAGCCGACCUGAGAGGGUGAUCGGCCACACUGGAACUGAGACACGGUCCAGACUCCUACGGGAGGCAGCAGUAGGGAAUCUUCCGCAAUGGGCGAAAGCCUGACGGAGCAACGCCGCGUGAGUGAUGAAGGUCUUCGGAUCGUAAAACUCUGUUAUUAGGGAAGAACAUAUGUGUAAGUAACUGUGCACAUCUUGACGGUACCUAAUCAGAAAGCCACGGCUAACUCCGUG